rnacentral:rRNA from 1 species
UACGCAGGGGGCAAGCGUUGUCCGGAAUCAUUGGGCGUAAAGAGCGCGUAGGCGGCCAGAUAAGUCCGGUGUGAAAGUCACAGGCUCAACCUGUGAAUGCCGCAGGAAACUGUCUGGCUUGAGUCCGGAAGGGGCGAGUGGAAUUCCCGGUGUAGUGGUGAAAUGCGUAGAUAUCGGGAGGAACACCAGUGGCGAAGGCGGCUUCCUGGCCUGUUCUUGACGCUGAGGCGCGAAAGCUAGGGGAGCAAACGGG